UCUCCCGCUUCACCUCCCUGAGCGGGUGCCUUAAAUCAUUAAGGCAUUUUGGUCCUCGGGCUUUAAUCCCCUUUUAGCCCGGGGGCUUUUGUUU
rnacentral:ncRNA from 1 species